rnacentral:rRNA from 1 species
GAUGAACGCUGGCGGCGUGCCUAAUACAUGCAAGUCGAGCGAACAGACGAGGAGCUUGCUCCUCUGACGUUAGCGGCGGACGGGUGAGUAACACGUGGAUAACCUACCUAUAAGACUGGGAUAACUUCGGGAAACCGGAGCUAAUACCGGAUAAUAUAUUGAACCGCAUGGUUCAAUAGUGAAAGACGGUUUUGCUGUCACUUAUAGAUGGAUCCGCGCCGCAUUAGCUAGUUGGUAAUGUAACGGCUUACCAAGGCAACGAUGCGUAGCCGACCUGAGAGAGCGAGCGGCCACACUGGGACUGAGACACGGCCCAGACUCCUACGAGAGGCAGCAGUAGGGAAGUUUAGACAAUGGGCGAAAGCCUGACGCAGCAAUACCGCGUGCGGUAAGAAGGCCUUCGGAUUGUAAACCUCUGUUAUUAGGAACGAAAAGAUGCUGACGAAAAUCUGCACGUCAUGACGGUACCGGAAGAAAAAGCACCGGCUAACUACGUG